GUCUCUUAAUUCGAUAGCCCACGUAAAAUCUACCCCUAUCUUGAAUAUCAGCUUGUGUACUGCUGUCGUCAGUAAACCUCUAAAAGAUAGUUUACAAUAAUAACAAAACCUAUUUACGUCAAGUCAAAGUGCAGCCAAUGAUAGGGGGUUUGAUGGGUUACAAUCUUCAUUAGAGAUACAGAUAAAUUCAACAAAAAAAUUUUAAAGGUGGACUUGAUAGUAAUGAUUAAACAAUCUCAUCAUUAACAAACAUCUAAGACAUGCACACAUCGCCCGUCACUCUCGUC
rnacentral:rRNA from 1 species